rnacentral:snoRNA from 1 species
UCAAAGUAUAAACACCAUAAAAGAUGUACACACAUCCACAUGGCACAAAGGAGCACAGCAUUCGGGUGCGAUGGUGUAGAAUCUUGUCCCACGACAUUGGGGAUGAACUUGUCCCCAGACAUGGGACUGUCGUGGGCAUGCUCUGUAUAUUCUUUAUCUUCUCAGAACCUGUUUGCUAAGGAAAAACCAUACAGGGCACAAUU